UUAUUAAUAACGGCAUCACCCCUUAUAUAGGGCUCAGAAACCGACCUAACGACAUUUACAAAAAUGCCCCGUGACGGUGGGGGAAUAUCCCGGCAUAUUCUCCUAUUACACUCUACCGACUCCAAGUCACUCGUGUAAUUUCGCAUUACAAACCCCACGCGUGUCCCCUGUCUAGGGUUUCAGCCGGUCGGAGGCUUGGAUCCUCCGCCCGGUCGCGGAUCCUUCGACACUUCAUGUGUCGGAGGUUCCUUAGCUCGGACGCGUCGGGGGUUCCUCAGCUC
rnacentral:lncRNA from 1 species